GAGCCCUCGCCCUCGAGGCAGCCACCGGCUAGGCCACGCGGCCAUUCCGCAGCGACUCUUGCCCUGCCAACGAUGCGCCUGCAUGGCGGCGGCCUCCCCGACUCCACCGGCGCCCUCUCUCCAGGGCCGGGCCCACCGAGGAGUCCCAGCCAGGCCUUCGAGGACGCCUCGAAAGUGGCGGCGAGCGUGGCAUGACGGGAAGAAUGGCAUCCACCUGAAGGCCAAGGCUGGGCCUUCGGGGCUUCUGCGGCCUAAGGCGGCGGGUCUGAGCAAGAACACUCUGCCAUCGCCGGCUCGGGACGGGAGGCCCACCCGUGGCCGAGCACGCAGACCUGGAUGAACCGAGGCCUCGAUGGGCCUGGACGAAGGUGAGCGGGGCCCCGAAUCACGGCGAGAGGAACGAUCGAUUCUUGGGCCGCGGGUCUUCCCUCCACCCGAGAGAAGCCGAGACGCGACAACCGCAGGCGGCCAUUCGGAAACGCUGUCGCCGUAGAAGUCCUGUGUAUAUAAUAUGAAAAAGCUGCUCUCAACCUUUCCCCCGACCCUUUUUAGACUUCUGGCUAAAUCUGGACGUCUAACUGUAGAGAUUGCCGACACAGGGUAAAGGAGAGGUAGGAGAUGACGUGAAUACCCAGUCGCCAUAAAAAGAAGAUCGUGGACACGUCUUCUGCAAGUGAUUUUGAAAUGGAAUUGUUUAGGCCGCCUCUAGAAAGACCCAGCACUCGUCCCUGUUUGUUCAGUACCUUAGAGGAUCCAGCAGGAGGAGGAAGAGGCCCGGAGCCAGAUUGGUCGUGUGAAGAAGACGUGUCUCUCUUUUUUAUCCUAUUGUAUUGUGUAUGCAUUUUAGUCCUCAUUUCUUACCCCCCACACCAUGUUUGCGUGUGUGCCUGUGUGUGUGUAUUUGAGUGUGUUUGAAAAUGCCAGGUUUUGGGGGUAAUGUCUUUCUAGCUGCUCUGAAGUGCCUGCCAUAUUUUAUAAGUAGUAAAACAUGCUGU
rnacentral:lncRNA from 1 species